AGGCCACCAAGCCAUUGUUGGAAAAGACAGCUAAUUAAGAAAGGGCAUGCUGUGGUGGAGACGACUUAUUUAAGCCGAUUCUCUUCUCCCAUCUUUCCCAGAGAAACUGUCCAGACCUGGUGUAAAUUGAAGAAAACCACCUGGCACCAGCAGGAACAGAGACCAAGGGAUUUCUCUUUAGAGAUCAUGGAUGGACUUGAGUCCAGGAGCCCAAGGGAGAGUGGGCAGAAGUCGGAGAGCCCAGAGGCUGUCCCACUGACUCCUGUGCGAUGUCUAUUCUAAGGGGGAUGAAUGAUGCAGGUGAAUAAACGGAGGCUCAGAGGGGUAAUGAAAUUUGCCAACAGUCACCAACCAGUGACAGAACGGGAACUCAAACCCAAGGAGGGAGUCUAUAACCACUUGACCAUACUGCCUUUCAGUUCCGGGAACAGGGGAUGCUUCCCAGCCUAAGAUUCUAAAGCAGCGGGAGUUCCUAGCCGGAGACAUGAUCUGAGUGCCAAUGUCUGAAUGCCUGUGAGCAUUUCAAGUUGUUUCAAGAAAAGGCGACGUUAGCGGCACCACUAAAGCCUGCUGUUCCGCAUCCCAUCACUGCCAUCCCCAUCUAUUAAAAUAAUGGUAUGAAAAAUAAACAGGCUUUAUGGACAGUUUUACA